rnacentral:rRNA from 1 species
GCGUUCAMCGAGUGUAUAACCUUGAUCGAUWGGUCUGGGUAAUCUUCUGAAAGCGCAYCGUGCUAGGGAUAGACUGUUGCAAUUUUCAGUCUUGAACGAGGAAUUCCYAGUAAAUGCAAGUCAUUAGCUUGCAUYGAUUACGUCCCUGCCCUUUGUACACACCGCCCGUCGCACCUACCGAUUGAAUGACUCGGUGAAAAAUUGGGACCGUGAGUCCGUUUGCUUUAUUGCGAGUGGAUUGAUGGGAACUUUUUUAAACCUCGCCAUUUAGAGGAAGGUGAAGUCGUAACAAGGYUUCCGUAGGUGAACCUGCGGAAGGAUCAUUA